rnacentral:rRNA from 1 species
UUGCCUGUUUUUUUAAAAACAUGUUUUUAAGUUUUUUUUUAAGGUUCAGCCUGCUCAAUGAUUUUUAAAUAGCCGCGGUAUUUUAACUGUGCUAAGGUAGCAUAAUAAUUAGUCUUUUAAUUGAGGUUUGGUAUGAAUGGUUAGACGAAAAAUUUACUUUAUUAAUUUUAUUUUUUGAAUUUUAUUUUUUAGUUAAAAAGCUUAAAUGUAAAAGAGGGACGAUAAGACCCUAUAGAUCUUUAAAAUUUAAAUUAUUUUUUUUUUUUUGUUGUAUUUUUUUGAAUUUUUUAAUUUUUUUUGUUGGGGUGAUAACUAAAAAUUUAAACUUUAGUUUAUUUGUACAUUUGUUAAUGGAUAUUUGAUCUUUAUUUUAGGAUUAUAAGAUAAAGAUACCUUAGGGAUAACAGCGUUAUAUUUUCGGAGAGUUCUUAUCGAUGAAUUUGUUUGCGACCUCGAUGUUGGAUUAAAAUUUUACUGAGGGGUAGAUUUUUCAGUUUUAGGUCUGUUCGACCUUUAAAAUUUUACAUGAUCUGAGUUCAGACCGGG